rnacentral:lncRNA from 1 species
GCCGUUCAAGUCUCAUAAUUCAUCUAAAAUCAUGAUCUACAUGUUUGUUUACUUUAUAUGUAUUGUUUAUUUGGUUUUUAUUAGUCUUUUUCUUCGUUUUGCGUGUUAGCUUGUCGUUUCCGUCGUUGCGAAGGUUCGUGAGUGCGUCGGAAGUGAUCAAGAAGAUUAAUUGAAGAUCGGUUAUUGCAAGGCAAGUCACACAGAUCCUAAACACAAUCCUUUGAGCAUGUUGAUCCUAUAUUUAAAUUCUCUAUUUAUUUCAACUGUGCAUUUAUUUUCGAAUGUCACUGGGUGGUGUGAACCUAUUCCUUUGUUAUGGCCAAUUUGCAUUGGAUGCCCUAUUCCUUGAUACCUUGGGUAAUAAAUUGAUUAGCUUGAACCUUAUGUAUUGGUUUGGUUCAGCUAAAUGUUAUAUAUAUAAUUGCUUAGCAAUGCUUAGAAACAUUAGCUCACUAAUGGGAUGAAUCAUAUAUACUACAUUAUUAUUUAUGGUUAUAUUUAAUGGUAGCUCACGAUGGUUAAUCGUGUUAUGAUAAUUAAUUGGUAAUUAAAAUAUGAUUAAUGGUGGGUUGUGAGCACAUGGUUUUGAAGGUCGUGCUCAUGGCAAUUAAGGACCGGUUCGCGAGCUACUGUUGUGAAACAUUUACCGUGCCAACCACAAGCCAGCGUGGGCAACGGCUUUAUCUUUUGUAUAGCGUGAUUCAUUAUAGUGCGCCAGACUGAGAAGUGGCGAGAAGUCCAUGGGGGUCGCUGGGGAGUCCAUGCCUUGUUUAUAAGGGGGUGAUUAUGAUCCAGGAAAGGUGCGCUGUAAUGGAUUAUGCUGUGCAAGGGGUAUUGUCACAACUCCUUUCCGAGGUACCGUGGUGGUACUGAGACACAUGGUGACAUGAUGUGGGGUUGUGUCUUGUGGGUACAGUGGUACACCUCUGGCCAGAGUAAAACUAUUCGAAUAGCCGUGCCCGCGGUUAUGGGCGGGUUGAGCAAUGUUUUUCGUGAUUAGUCUCACACCUCUCACAAUAAUUAUGGAUGUAAUAACUGGUAAUAAUUUGCUUAGCUCCUGGUUUGGAGUUAGAUCUGUUCAGCCGGGUAUGGUUGUUCAGGAUGGUUGGGCCUGUACAGCAUGGGUGUGCUGUUCAGUGUUGAUUAAAACUUCUGAUUAAUUAAUCUACUGUUUUACUACUCUUAACUCUUUGCUAAAUGCUGCUUUCGCAAAUGAGCCUAUAUUAUGCCAUACUUUGGAAUCCUUGUGCACUUGCAUAUUUGCUGUGUGGCUUGUUGAGUAUGUCAUAUGCUCAUUCUUGCAAUAAUCAUCAAACCUCAGUUGAAGAUAAAGGAUCCAGAAGGAGAAGACGUUUGGCUUAUACCCCAGUUGAGCUGCCUGUGGGAGUGGAGCCGGAGCUUCGCUAGAUUUUAUUUUCCGCUGCAGUUUUCUUCUUGAUGAGGAUUAAGUGCCUCAUAAGUAAGUAUUUAUCGUUUUAGUUAAUUUGAUGAAUCUGUAUAUUAAAUUGUCAGUUUGUGUACCUCGGCUGAUUCCUGGACGAGGAUUUUAUGCACAAAUAAGUUCGGAAAUUAUUAGUGAAUUUCUGGGCGUGACAAGUUGGUAUCAGAGCCAUCUCAACUGUUGGAUAAGCCAAAUGGUCAAAUUUUAAGGACGAAUUUUUCCGACAAAAAUGAUUUGUGAAAAUUUCUCCUUUCUUCCUUAUCUAGAAUUCUUUACAAAUUGUUUCAUUGUCUACUCUCUUCUCUCGUUCAACUUGAGUAGUUCUGAAACUAAACUAGUGGUUGAAACCUGAAGACGCCAAUGAGGUCUACUGAUGGAGGUUAAGUAAAGUGGAUCGAGGAAGGACCAAAGUGCCCAGAUGUCAAGAUGGAAUGAAGUUGGCAUCCUGCCUUAGAACCUAUCCCGCCAAAGUGUCUUUGAAGAAUAGUUAGUAGGGUAGAACGCUGUUGUUUGCUUUGUGUGUAGGUAUGGUUGCAUUCCCGUCAUAGAUGUAGUCCAGUGAUGAGCGUGCAACUGUACUAGGUUGUUUGCUUAACCAACUUAAACAAUAUAAUGGUCUACACACAUCAGAUCAGUGUUAACCUGGUUAAGGUCUUGUCUUUAGUGUAACCUCUCUCCUUCUAUCUUUUCUAAUCUGCAACAGAUGGUGAACACUCGCGCCAGUGGAAGUGGAAACAAUAACAAUGAAGAGAACCCCACCCUUGCUCAAGUGCUGGCUCAACAGACCCAAUUGAUUAACAUGUUAGUGCAACAAAUGCAGAACCAGCAAGGGAACAACAAUGUCAAUCCUCCGCCGCCGCAGAACAAGUUAGCUGAUUUUCUUCGUGUGAGGCCGCCUACCUUCUCUAGCACUACCAACCCAGUGGAAGUAGGUGAUUGGUUGCACGCUGUUGAGAAGAAGUUGGAACUGCUCCAGUGUACGGAUCAGGAGAAAGUUGUUUUCGCUUCACAUCAGUUGCAAGGAUCUGCUUCAGAAUGGUGGGAUCAUUUCCGGAUGAACAGAGCAGAAGGACAACCAAUCACUUGGGCGGAGUUCACUGAAGCAUUCAAGAAGACACACAUACCUGCAGGUGUUGUUGCUUUGAAGAAGCGUGAGUUCCGGGCACUUAAGCAAAAGGAUCGUACUGUGACGGAAUAUCUUCAUGAGUUCAAUCGUCUAGCUCGCUAUGCUCCAGAAGAUGUGCGUACUGACGAGGAAAGGCAGGAGAAGUUCUUGGAAGGUCUGAAGGAUGAACUGUCAGUUAUGUUGAUCUCUCAUGACUAUGAGGAUUUUCAGGAGUUGGUUGAUAAAGCAAUUCGACUGGAAGACAAGAAGAACAGGAUGGACAAUCGUAAGAGAGGAAGGAUUGUUUUCCAGGAGGCACAGGAUAGUAGCCAGAGGCAGCGUAUCAAGCCACUCCAAAUUGGUGAAUCUUCUUCCGCUGGUCAAGAACAGUCACAACAGUUGAACAUCGGUGGUGAGAUCAACUCAGAGACUAAUGCAAGCAAUGAAGACAAUGAUGGGCAAGCUACUCAAUCAGUGUCAUUUCAGCAGGAUCAGUCUCAAGAAGAUAACAGUAGUGGAAGGGAGCAGCAGGUAUGUUUCAGCUGUUACAAGCCAGGCCACUUUGCAAGAGAGUGUCCGAAGUCACAGCAUCAGCAGCCGCAAGGUCAGAUCAACAACAUUGUCGUCACAGGAGCCAAUGCAGUGCCAGUUGCGUCUUCAAGAGUUGUGUCUUCAAGUGUUACAACUCAGCCACCAGUUUCAAAGCGGCAGUAGUUUUCUUUAAAGCCUUAGAAUAAUUAUCGGAGUUAUGGAAUAAGAUAGACUGCAGUUUACCUAUGCCCUUUUCUUUCUAGCCGUUCCGAAUCUCGGGACGAGAUUCUUUGUAAGGGGGGUAGAUUUGUCACAUCCUGAUUUUUGUCUUAGGAUUUAUAAAUUAUUUAAUAAAUUAUUAAUAGAAUUUAUAUUAAAUGUUCUUUAAUUUACAAGUGAAGUUAAAUGUGGGAAAUAAAAUUUCCUAAAUAUAAAGCAUGGAUGGAUUUAAUUUUUAUUAAAUUCUCCAUGGUUAAUUAUACUCUCUGGAAUUUUCUCGGAUUUUUCGGAGCUCAAUUAUUAAUUUUAAUCAUACAAAGAACAGUUCAGUAAUUAUUUGAUCAAUAAUGAUCUAAUUAUAAUUGUUGUUUAUAAUCCUUAAAUUAUAAAUUGUUGUUUAAAAGGAAUUAUUAGAAAUGAUUUUAAAAGCUUCAAAGAGAAGAUCUAAUUUUAAUUUGCUAAAUCUCAAUAUAAAAAUGAGCUAGAUAAAAUUUUAUUAAAUACUUUGCUUGUUCCUCUAUUUUCUAGAAUUUUCUGGGAAUUAUUUGAGCAAGGGAAGUAUUUUUAAUAAUUGAAACAACAUUUCACAAAUUGUUUUAUUUAAAAAAGUUCAAAAAACCCCUCCCUAAGCCGUUGGGCCGAAUUCGGCCCAAUACUCUCUCUCUCUCUCCCGCGCGGCCCAAGCCGGCCCAGCUCAGCCGCCGCCCCUCCUCCUCCAGCCGCCGACAUGUGGGGCCCACAUGUCGGAGGUUUCUUCAACCUCCGGCCGGCCUCAGGCCGAGCCCGAGUCGGCCGACCGAGCCCCUCUUCCUCUCCGAAUCCGCAUCCAAUCCGGUCCUUUUUCUUCCGUUUGUUUGAGGGGUUUUUAUCCUCUCAUCCUCCUCUAUCUUUUCCCUCAACAAUCGGAGCAAGAGGUUGAGUAUUUUAUCCGAAUCGAGUUCGUUUCGAUUUUAUCCCCAAAAACCGAGUUUAGAUUUUCCCGAAGCGAUUUCUUGCGGGAGGAGUCCGAUCUCUUCAAUCCAAGGCUAUAAAUAGGACCACCUCGUCGCUCUCUUUCGUUUGCCCCCUUUCCCGAGCUCUCUAGUGCGCCGUAGAGUCGCCGCCAUGCCGAGUUAGUCGCCGCCGCCGCCGGCCGAUGUCCAGCCGCGCCGCCGCGCCGCUCCUGCCGUCGCCGCCGCUUGCCGCCGCCGCCAAGAGGUGCGCCGAGGAGUGAGGAAGCCCGGCCGCCCGUUCCCCUUCGCCGUCGCCCACCAGAGCUCCGUCGCCGUGUCACGCCCGGAAUUUCUAUCCAAAAUUCCAAACGCUUACAUGUGUGUGAACCCUCGUCCAGGAAUCAGCCGAGGCACACAAUAACAAAUUGAUAAUAGAGUACAAUUAUUACUCUAAUUAAUACGCGAAUAAAAUGUCAUUACAGAGGUAGAUAGUUCCUCUCAAUCAAUAAAGAUCUAAGCAGCGGAAAAUAAAUAAACGGCGCAGACGGCUCCACUCCACAGGCAGCUUGACCAAGGCUACACCUAAUCCUCCACACCAUCAGCCUCAUUGUAGAACUCUUCCUCUGAUGAAUGAUUGCAAGGUGAGUAUAUGACAUACUCAGCAAGCCACGCAGCAAAUAUGCAAGUGCACAGGAUAACAAAGGAUGGCAUAGUAGGGUUUCAUUUGCAAAAGCAGCAUUUAGCAAACAUUUGAGAAUUUGAGAAAACAGUUAAGUAAUUAAACAAUAUUAAUCCAACGCUAUACAACAUACCCUGUUGUAUAGGCCCAACCAUUCUGAACAACCACCCCGGCUGCACAGUUCUAUCUCCAAACCAGGAAUAUACCAUUCCAAACCAGGAGCUAAACAAAUUAUUACCAGUUUAAGCAUCUUUUACAACGAUGAGAGGUGUGAGACUAAUCACGAAAGACAUUGUUAGACCCGCCCAUAACCGCGGGCACGGCUAUUCGAAUAGUUUUACUCUGAUCAGAGGUGUACCACUGUACCCACAAGACACAACCCCACAUCAUGUCACCAUGUGCCUCAAUACCACCACGGUAUCUCGGAAAGGAGUUGUGACAAUACCCCUCGCAUAACACAAUCCACUGCAGCGCACCUUCCUGGAUCAUAAUCACCCCCUUAUAAACAAGGCAUGGACUCCCCAGCGACCCCCGUGGGCUUAUCUCCGCCACUUCUCAGUCUGGUGCCCCGCAAUGAACCAUGCUAUACAAAAGAUAAAGCCGUUGCCCAUGCUGGCUUGUGGUUGGCACGAUAAAUGUUUCACAACCGAAACUCGUGAACCGGUCCUUAAUUGUCAUGAGCACGACCAUCAAAACCAUGUGCUCACAACCCACCAUUACCAGGUUUUAGUUGGCACAUUAAUUAAUUAACUAAUCACGAUUGACCAUCGUGAACUAUCAUUAAACCAUCAUGAAAUAAUAGUGAAUCAUUAGUUAUCCCGAAUAUGUGCUAAUGUUUCUAAGCAGGGCUAAGCAAUUAUAUCUAAUAUCUAGUUGAACUAAUAUAAAUAAAGCUCAACUAGUCAAAUUGUAAUAACCCAAGGUAUCAAGGAAUAAGGUAAUCAAGUACAAAAGGGCCAUAACAAAGAAUAGGUCAAUUCCACCCAAUGACAUUCGAAAACAGAUGCAAUAGUUGAAUAGAAACAAUAGCUUUAAAUAGGAUCAACAUGCUCAAAGGGUUGUUUGGGAUCUGUGUGACUUGCCUUGCUGGCCUUGGAACUCUUCAAACUCUUCUCCGGCGAAAACGGACUCUCCGGAAACGACGGAAUCUAAGCGGAAAAGAGCAAAAUCACCAAAACAGCACAUAAACAAACAUGAACAGUACAUGUGGAUAUUUUUAAUGUGUAGAUCUCAAUUUUAGAAAAAUUUAGAGACUUGAACCAACUAAAUCGGAGCUAAGAUGAAUUAGUUAUGAAUUUUUAAAGAUUAAAUCGGAUUAAAACACUUAAAUCGGUUAGAAUUGAAUUAUGACGCAAUAAUGAAUUAUUUUUAAAAAGGAAAAGAGGGUUUAUUGCGUCAGCGGGCUAGGGUUUGGGUGGACCGGGCGCACAGGCGGCGGUUCACGCGAACGGACGGCCGAGAUCGAUCCAUCCAAAACGGACGGCCGAGAUCGAACGGUCUACGACCGGCUCACGGCGGACGACCCUGAUGACGUCAGCAAUGACGUCACCGACAGCGGCGGCGGCUCGGCGGAGGAGAUGGCUCGAACGGCGCACGCUCGCCGGCGAACGGCGGCGCGAGGAUGCAAACGGAGGGCACCAAGACGAAGAGGACAACGCGGCGAACUCACCGGUGACCUAAACGGCGGCGGAAGACCAACGGACGGCGACGGCGACGAGGAGGAAGCGGCGGGAACCUUCGGGUCAACGACGGCGAUGCUGCUCCGGUGAUCUCCGGCGACGGCGAAGGGGCGGACGAGGACGGCGACAACUUGGCGAGCACGACGGUGGUCUUCCCGAGCGACGGCGACGGCUGAAACGACGGCGGCGCACGGCUGGAGCGGCGGCGGCGACGGCGAAGCUAGGGCACACGGCGCUAGAGCGAUUCCGACGACGAGAGGCGAAGGCAAGGGUGGCGACGGGUAGAGGAGACACCGGGGGUCCUUUUAAAGGGGCUAGGAGGCGGCGGCAAAGGCCCACGGCGGCCGGCGACGAGGAAGGAAAGAUCGGGAAGAACGAAUCCGAGACAAACUCGAAUCCGACGCUUUCCAAAACGAUUUAGCCAAAGAUUCCAAAGGAGAAAAGGUAGAGGAGAUCCCGAGGAUCAUAUCCCCUCUAUCAAUUCGGCCGGAGAAGGAAAGGAGCGGCCGGAUUGGAAAGCGGCGGCGGCGGCGGUGCGCUAGGGUUUCGGCCCGAGGAGGACGACGAUCCCGACAGGUGGGACCAACCUGUCAGCGACAGCGCGCUUGCGCGGGCGGCUGCGGCUGCGGACUGGGCCGGCUGGGCCGAGGAGAGAGAAGAGAGGUUUUGGGCCGACUUUCGGCCUAAAGCCAAAAGAAGACUUUUUAAAACCUUUUUCAAUUUAAAUUAUUUCUUAAAUGCAAUUCCAUUUAUUAAAAAUACUUUCUUAGCUCAAAUAAAUCCCAGAAAAAAUCUAGGAAUUAUAGAAUUAAGCAAAGUAUUUAAUGAAAUUUUAUCUGGCCCCAUUUUAUAUUGGAAUUUAUUAAUUAAAACUAGAUCUUCUCUUCAAGACUUUUAAAAUUAUUUCUAAAAAUUCCAAUUAAACAACAAUUUAUAUAUUUUGAAUUUUCAGGGCGUGACACGCUGUCACACCCCGAAGUUUUCCUCCCAAGCCAAAAUUGUAAUUUUUAUAAAUGACCCUAAGAAAAUGCUGGUGAAAUCAGGAGAAAACCCUAUGAAAGUAAUGCAAAUAAUAAUCGGAUUUGACAUGUGGAAUUUUUCUUGAGUUCUACAUGUCGAAACUCAUUAACAGGAUUUUUAGUGGAAUUUUCAGAGCUCUAGAAAUAAUUUUAACCAAUUAAAAUUGAGCAAGCAAUAUUUUAAUUCCAGGGAAAAUCCUUUUUCCUUUUUCUUUUUCUUUUCCCUCCCUUUUUCCUCCUUUUUCCGAAUGGGCCGCCGGCCCAUUCCCUCCUUCCUCCCCUCCUCCUUGUUGGGCCGGCCGCAGGCCGAGGCCCAGCCAGGCCGCCCCGCCGCCUCCUCUCUCGGGGUCGCCGACAGGUAGGGCCCACCUGUCGGGUCCUUCCCCCACCUCCCGCCGAUCUCGCUCGCACCGCCGCGCCCGCAACCGCCGCCGCGCCCUCGCCUCCGCCUCCUCCGGGCCACGUCGACCACGCCCGCGCGUGCGCCGCGUCUCCCGCGCCCACUCCCCUCUCUCUCCCGCCCGCGCCCGCGCCCGAGAUGGCCGGGAUUCGAUUUUCGAAUCCCGCCUCUCUCUCCUCCCCUACUCCCCACGUCGGCCGGCGAUUCCCGCCUCUCCCGGCCACGUCCGGUUCCCUCUCCCCCUAUUUAAGCAUCGCCGCCGUCCCCUCUCACUUUUUCCCCAUUUCGCCGCACCCUCUCGAGCCUCCGAUCGCUCCCGCGCCGUGCAACGCCUUGCCGCCGCUUUUUUCCGCAACUCCGGCCGCCACUAGCCGCCGUUAGGGUCGCCGCCAGGCCGCGCCGUCGCCGCCGUCGGGUUCGCGUGGCCGAGAUCCACCCCGUCCACCCCUCCUCCGUCGAGGUUCGUCGCCGGAGCCCUCGUUCCCUCGCACUCGGGUGAGCACCACCUCCACCGCCGCCUUCGGCCAUGGUUUCCGGUCGCCGUGGUCCAUCUCUCUCCCUCUAAUCCCUCUCCUCUCCUUCCUUAGGGCACCCCGAAGCUCGUUCGCCCGCCGACGUCGUCCUUCCGUGGCUUGCCGUCGCCGUUCGCCAUCGUCUUCCUCCGCGCCGGCCACCCUCGGUGAGACACCCUCCCCUCUUUUCCUCUCCCUCUCCCUCCUAGCCGCCGCUUUAGCGCCGCCGCCCGUUCGUCGUCGCUUUAGCAUCACCGCCCUUCGGCGCCGCCUUUGCGCCGCCGUCUCCGCCGUCGGUUGCCGUUGUCGGCAACGCGCGUGCGUGUGCGCGCGUCGUCGCCAUGACCGGUCGGUCGGCUUUGUGCCGAGCCGAGCCGGCGGCCGCCUUUAUCGCCGCCCGUUCCCUCCCCUUCCUAGCCGCUGCUAGCGCAGCCGCCUUCGCGUCGCCUUUUGCGCCGUCGCCUUCGCCGCCGGUUGCCGUCGCCGGCAACCCGUUCGCGCGCGCGCCGUUGCCGUCGCCGCGGCCGGUCGGUCGGCCUUGAGCCAAGCCGAGCCGGGUGUCGCCGCCCCUUUUCCUCCCGAGCCGCUGACCAGUGGGCCCGCGUGCCGGCGCCCCUUCCUCCUUCUCCCGAGUCGCUGACCGGUGGGCCCCGCUUGUCGGCGCCGCGCCCCCCUCCGUGCUGACGUCAGCCCUGGAAUAUAUUGCGCAAUAAAUGAUUUAGGGUUUUUCUUUUAUAGUAAUAAACACAGUGAAUCUUCUAAAAUUCAUAACUAAUUCAUCCGAGCUCCGUUUAAGCCCAUUCAAGUCUCAGUAAAUCAAGAAAAAUGUGUAGAAUCCAUUAAAAAUGGUUUUGUUCCCUGUUUCAGUAGUCUUAUAGCCUGUUUGCAAUGUUUGCUUUGUAUGUCGCUAGAUUCCGUUUCCUCCGACGCUCCGGUGUACUUUGAGAUAGUCGCCGAGGUUCCUCCAGCAGCAGAGCAAGGCAAGUCAUGCUUGUCACUUGAACAUGUUGAUCCUAUAUUGCAAAUGCUCUAUUGUUUUCUUUCAAAUAUUGCAUUGUUUUAUAAUAUUACUAUGGGAUGGUUACCUAUUGUUACAGCCAUGCUUUUUGGAUAUCAUGCUCCUUUGUUAGCUUGGGGUUAUAACAUGAUUAGAGUUUGGACUAGGAAUUGCUUAGCUAUUCUUAGUUCAACUAGUUCACAAUGGGGAAAAUCAUAUUAAUGUUUAGACUGUUGGUUCUAAUGAUAAUGUUGGAUUAGUACCACCGCUCUGGUGUUGGUUAAUUAAAAUGAAUCACAUGGUGGGCUGUGGGUGCAUGGUUUUGCUGGUCGCACCCAUGGCAGUUAAGGACCGGUUCGCGGGAUGCCCUGGAAGAACUUAUCGUACUUACCACAAACCAGCGUGGGCAACGGCUGGGCUUGUAGCGUAGCUUUCCUCUAGCCGACGCAUCCAGGCAAGGGUGGGCGUGAUGGAGUUUGGAUGGGCCCUGCAACGGCCUAUGCGGCUUCCGGAUUCACCUAGGCACGAGAGGGGACUGCCCGCUGCCUUGCGAGGAGUGGGGGUGAAACCUGAGGUGUGGUGUGCUUGGUUAGAGGGGGUUAUGCGAGUGGUCCUGUCACGGCCUCUUUCCGGUAUGUCGUGGUGACAUGUCGGCGCACGGAAACGUGUCGUGGGGCUGUGUCUUGUGGGUACAGUUGUACACCUCUGAUCAGAGUAAAACUAUUCGAAUAGCCGUGCCCGCGGUUAUGGGCGGUCAACCAGAUUCACCGUGAUUAGUCUCACCCUAGUGUAAUCUUUUGAAUUUGGAUAGUUUAGGUGGAUGGUUGGGCCUGUCGCAACGUGGGCUAGCGUUGGACAGCGGAUGUUUAAUAUUAAUUAAUUAUUACAACUGUUUAAAUCUUUCAAUUUCUGUUUAUAAAUGCUCGCUGUAUGCAAAUGAACCACUCUAGCUCUUCUUUGUUAAUUCCCUGCAUCAUACCCCUAUUACGGUAUGACUUGCUGAGUACAGUGGGUAGUACUCAGUCUUGCUCUACUUUUCCUAACCCCAGAGGACGGGUAUGUGUCAGAUGAAGGUUUCCCCGAGGAGUAGGCUUCGUCCGUGCCGUCGAGGAUGCCUGUGGAGUGGUGUUCCCGCUGUAGUUUAGUCAAAGUUUAGUCAAGGCUUAGCUCCUGUUGUCUUUCUUUUCUUCCGCUGCAUUUAUGUAAGACUUUAUGAUGUUUGUAAGACGUGGAUCUGUAUGUCAACAUUGUCGUUUGUGUACCCCGGCUGGUCCUGGACGGGGAUUUUUAUGCACAUUCUGCUUGGAAUUAUAUUCGGGAAUUUCUGGGCGUGACACACGCCGCCGUUCAACCGAGCCGCCGCCGCCUCUUGCGUCGUCGCCGGCCGUCGUCGGUUGUCGUGAGACGUUUUGGUGAGUACCAUCGGGUUCGUCUCGACGUCCUCUACGCGUAGGUGCCCUUGGAUAGCCCGGCCGAUCUCUCUAUCGCCGGCGAGGUCGUCGCCCGUGUCAUGCCGGUGAUGAUGACGUCAGCAUGACGUCAUGAUUCCUCUUUUCCAGUUUUUUUUCUAAUAGAUUAAAUCUUCGGAAAAUCAUAACUAAAUAACCGUAGAUCCGUUUCAGGUGGUUCAAGUUGCUAAAUUUUUCUAAAAUAAAGAUCUACAUAUUAAAAUUGUCCAUAAAUUGAAUUAAAUUUAUUUAAUUCUUUUUAAAUGGGCUUUAAUUAGAUUUAAUCUUGUAAAAUUCAUAAUAAAUUCAUUUGAAGUCGGAAUAAGGCCGUUCAAGUCUCAUAAUUCAUCUAAAAUCAUGAUCUACAUGUUUGUUUACUUUAUAUGUAUUGUUUAUUUGGUUUUUAUUAGUCUUUUUCUUCGUUUUGCGUGUUAGCUUGUCGUUUCCGUCGUUGCGAAGAUUCGUGAGUGCGUCGGAAGUGAUCAAGAAGAUUAAUUGAAGAUCGGUUAUUGCAAGGCAAGUCACACAGAUCCUAAACACAAUCCUUUGAGCAUGUUGAUCCUAUAUUUAAAUUCUCUAUUUAUUUCAACUAUGCAUUUAUUUUCGAAUGUCACUGGGUGGUGUGAACCUAUUCCUUUGUUAUGGCCAAUUUGCAUUGAAUGCCCUAUUCCUUGAUACCUUGGGUAAUAAAUUGAUUAGCUUGAACCUUAUGUAUUGGUUUGGUUCAGCUAAAUGUUAUAUAUAUAAUUGCUUAGCAAUGCUUAGAAACAUUAGCUCACUAAUGGGAUGAAUCAUAUAUACUACAUUAUUAUUUAUGGUUAUAUUUAAUGGUAGCUCACGAUGGUUAAUCGUGUUAUGAUAAUUAAUUGGUAAUUAAAAUAUGAUUAAUGGUGGGUUGUGAGCACAUGGUUUUGAAGGUCGUGCUCAUGGCAAUUAAGGACCGGUUCGCGAGCUACUGUUGUGAAACAUUUACCGUGCCAACCACAAGCCAGCGUGGGCAACGGCUUUAUCUUUUGUAUAGCGUGAUUCAUUAUAGUGCGCCAGACUGAGAAGUGGCGAGAAGUCCACGGGGGUCGCUGGGGAGUCCAUGCCUUGUUUAUAAGGGGGUGAUUAUGAUCCAGGAAAGGUGCGCUGUAAUGGAUUAUGCUGUGCAAGGGGUAUUGUCACAACUCCUUUCCGAGGUACCGUGGUGGUACUGAGGCACAUGGUGACAUGAUGUGGGGUUGUGUCUUGUGGGUACAGUGGUACACCUCUGGCCAGAGUAAAACUAUUCGAAUAGCCGUGCCCGCGGUUAUGGGCGGGUUGAGCAAUGUUUUUCGUGAUUAGUCUCACACCUCUCACAAUAAUUAUGGAUGUAAUAACUGGUAAUAAUUUGCUUAGCUCCUGGUUUGGAGUUAGAUCUGUUCAGCCGGGUAUGGUUGUUCAGGAUGGUUGGGCCUGUACAGCAUGGGUGUGCUGUUCAGUGUUGAUUAAAACUUCUGAUUAAUUAAUCUACUGUUUUACUACUCUUAA